CAUGACCCAGCCUUUAUAUCUCACCUUUACAUAACAACAGCUGAAACAGCAGCAUAGAAUUGGAUUGCUCACCAACUGAAUCUGAAGGCUAUAUGUUGCUCUCCUCUUCUUUUCAGUCAGCAUGAUUCAGGACUUUCCAGGUGUGAGAGUACAGUAUAAGAUCUCUGCUGGGACAAACAUCCAAAGACUAAAGAUUAUUAGAUAUAAUGCAACAGAUAUCAACUUUUUUUACCAUUUGGACCUGGCAAUCCUAAUAGGAAUUAAUCUGCAUGUCAUUUUCAACCUAUUAUUUGAACUUUCAGAAGUGGGAACUGGUUUGUGUGUGGGGAGCGUUAAGCAUGUGCUGUGCUGGGAGAAGGAAUGUGUGGCAAAUACCAUAUACACCAUCUCCUUAGCAAACAAUGUGCUUGCACAGCACUGGCAAAGAUAAAUAUUUAUUAACUGCACAGACCUGCUAAAGUGAAAUAUUUAUUAGUAACCUUAUAAAAGCAUUUUCUCACAGUGA